ensembl:snRNA U2 U2 spliceosomal RNA
AUCACUUCUCAGCCUUUUGGCUAAGAUCAAGUGUAGUAACAUUUAUGUGACUGCACGUAGUUUAAAACAUUCAGUCUACUAAUAUUACCUGUUAGCAGUGAUUAUUUGUGUGAGAUACAACUAGAUUACAUCUGGGAAACUCAUA